rnacentral:rRNA from 1 species
GUGGAUUAGAUACCCGGGUAGUCCACGCCGUAAACGAUGGAUGCUAGCUGUGAGAAGUAUCGACCCUUCUCGUAGCGAAGCUAACGCGUUAAGCAUCCCGCCUGUGGAGUACGGUCGCAAGACUAAAACAUAAAGGAAUUGACGGGGACCCGCACAAGCGGUGGAGCGUGUUCUUUAAUUCGAAGGUAAGCGAAGAACCUUACCAGGGUUUGACAUCCUCAGAAGGCAUCCGAAAGGAUACUGUGCCCUCGGGAACUGAGUGACAGGUGAUGCACGGCCGUCGACAGCU